rnacentral:rRNA from 1 species
CGCGAUAGCUUGCUAUUGCGGAUGGCGACCGGCGCACGGGUGAGUAACGCGUAUCCAACCUUCCCGCAACUGGGGAAUAACCUUGCGAAAGUAAGACUAAUACCCCAUGGUCUCCACGGAUGGCAUCUGAAGUGGAGUAAAGGUUUCGGCCGGUUGCGGAUGGGGAUGCGUCCGAUUAGCUUGACGGCGGGGUAACGGCCCACCGUGGCAUCGAUCGGUAGGGGUUCUGAGAGGAAGGUCCCCCACAUUGGAACUGAGACACGGUCCAAACUCCUACGGGAGGCAGCAGUGAGGAAUAUUGGUCAAUGGGCGGAAGCCUGAACCAGCCAAGUAGCGUGAAGGACGACUGCCCUAUGGGUUGUAAACUUCUUUUAUGCGGGGAUAAAGUUCGCCACGUGUGGCGUUUUGCAGGUACCGCAUGAAUAAGGACCGGCUAAUUCCGUGCCAGCAGCCGCGGUAAUACGGAAGGUCCAGGCGUUAUCCGGAUUCAUUGGGUUUAAAGGGAGCGUAGGCCGCCUUUUAAGCGUGUUGUGAAAUGUAGGGGCUCAACCCCUGCACUGCAGCGCGAACUGGAGGGCUUGAGUACACACAAAGUAGGCGGAAUUCAUGGUGUAGCGGUGAAAUGCUUAGAUAUCAUGAAGAACCCCGAUUGCGAAGGCAGCUUACUGGAGUGUAACUGACGCUGAAGCUCGAGAGCGCGGGUAUCGAACAGGAUUAGAUACCCUGGUAGUCCGCGCG